GACGAACGCUGGCGGCGUGCUUAACACAUGCAAGUCGAACGGAAAGGCCCUGCUUUUGUGGGGUGCUCGAGUGGCGAACGGGUGAGUAACACGUGAGUAACCUGCCCUUGACUUUGGGAUAACUUCAGGAAACUGGGGCUAAUACCGGAUAGGAGCUCCUGCUGCAUGGUGGGAGUUGGAAAGUUUCGGCGGUUGGGGAUGGACUCGCGGCUUAUCAGCUUGUUGGUGGGGUAGUGGCUUACCAAGGCUUUGACGGGUAGCCGGCCUGAGAGGGUGACCGGCCACAUUGGGACUGAGAUACGGCCCAGACUCCUACGGGAGGCAGCAGUGGGGAAUAUUGCACAAUGGGCGGAAGCCUGAUGCAGCAACGCCGCGUGCGGGAUGACGGCCUUCGGGUUGUAGACCGCUUUCGCCUGUGACGAAGCGUGAGUGACGGUAAUGGGUAAAGAAGCACCGGCUAACUACGUG
rnacentral:rRNA from 1 species